UACGAAGGGAUCUAGCGUUGUUCGGAUUUACUGGGCGUAAAGGGCGCGUAGGCGGUUUAGCAAGUCAGAUGUGAAAGCCCUGGGCUUAACCCGGGAACUGCAUUUGAAACUACUAGGCUUGAGUAUGGGAGAGGUAAGUGGAAUUUCCAGUGUAGAGGUGAAAUUCGUAGAUAUUGGAAAGAACACCAGUGGCGAAGGCGACUUACUGGACCAUAACUGACGCUGAGGCGCGAAAGCGUGGGGAGCAAACAGG
rnacentral:rRNA from 1 species